GUUUUGAUGCUUUUCAUGUCUUUGGGCAGUUUGCUGUGUUUAUUUUGGGGGGAAGGUCAGCACUCCCAGCUGAUGCUGGGAGAAUGCUCUGGGAGAGAAGCAUCCCUGGAGACAGCCCUCCUUCCAGCAGCACAUGGCAAAACUCUGAGACUUCCCUUUCAGUGGGAGGCACAGGAGAUAUUUUGGACUGCAAGCUGUGGCUUUAAAAAAACACACCCAGUAGUGAUUUGAGGUUUUCUUCUUGAAGCCUUCCUGACUUUGAACAUAAAUUGCAUCUGUUUUGGUAAGCAGGCUACCAGCAAGCCAGACCUGUUCCUGGGAUUACUGUGACCACAGGUAUAGCUGUUUCUUUUCCAUAUGGGAUGACUUAGGCCCCUGUUCCCUGCCGGUGUGUGGUUGGAUUUUACCUUCCUCCACAUCGUGGCAUUUUGGAAAGAGGGGCUUGUUUUACAGAGCAGCUGUGUUGUCUUAAUGCAGCUGUAACGUGUGUUUGUCUCGGAGCACAGCAGGACUAGGAAGAGGUUUUAUUAGAUCAUUCCCAGGUCCCAAUAAUCUCUGAGGCUCUCAGAUCUGUGCUGCUCUCGCUCCGUAGGACAGGGCUGGAAGCUGAAGAUGGGAAAUCACUUGUGUGUGAUCCUUUAUCUGCUUCAUCUCACAGCUGCUGCUCCCCUCCUGGCUGUUUGUAGCAGCCAGAGAGGACCUAGUUCUUGUAUCCCAGACCUUCAACCACAGCCUAACAGCCUCCAAGGGAUCCUCCCUGCUUGGGCUGGUGUUUGUGGCACUGCUGGUGGCUCUGCAGCCUGGAUCCCAAGGAGCGUUCCCAUCCCAUCACCACUGACUGCCAGCAUCGGGAUCACGGCCACCCAGGGAGUUGGACAUGAUGGAGCUGGACACACACCAGGAGCAGCUCGGAAGGAUGGAGAUGAUGUUUCCAGAUCUCCCCUUGAUGGCACCGGGAUGCAGCUCUGCACUGGCACAGCAGGGAGUCUGCUUUAGAGGGAAGGAAAUUCCAGGGUGGGUUUUUCACUAAUUGAUGGGAUUUAAAAGGAUUCUGUGGAUUGUCCUUGAAAUGAGUGCUCUGAAAUGGCCUCCUUUGGCAGCUUCUCCAUUCCCAUUCCAAGCUCCCUGAAAGCUGGCCCAGGUGCAAAUACUCCACCUGGCAUCACAAAUUCAUGUUUCCCUGGCCUGCAGCAUUGCUCCCAGAUCAUCCUUCUGCCUCUUUCCUCUCCUGGCUCAGCCUGGAUUUUUCCAUGCCCACCAG
rnacentral:lncRNA from 1 species